UUCAUAGAGAAACGCGUGUAAACACUAGAGACAAACGCAGAAAAGAUUAGACGUGAAAGUGCUCGGUCAUGCAGAGAAAAGAGAAGAAACAUAGCACGCACACACGCAAAGAAAAGGAGUCAGAGAUGUAUGCAGAAAAAGAAGCGCAUGCACGUACGAAAAAGCAAAGAAAAACAGAGCUGGAGAUGCACGUAUGCGGAUGGUAGUAGAAAAGAAGAGAGAGAGAGAAUAAAAAAGGAGAGCAUAAGAAGAGAGCGAGAAAGAAGAGACGGGGGAGAGGAACUGAAAGAAGAAACAGAGGCACGUUAUAGAGAGAGCACGAAAAUAGAGCACAAAAGGAGGGAUCCGAACUCAAAACGGAAAAAGAGUGAAAGAAAAAAAAGAACAUGGGAAGUGAGAAUGGAAGAAAAGAGUGAAAGAAAAAAGAGCAUAAGUGAAAAUGGAUGAGAAACAGAGCAGAAAAAGAGGAGAGGGAGAGACCGAAAAAAAAAACAAAAAACAGAGCACGAGACCGAGAGAGGAAAGCCUGAACAAAAACUAGACAAAAAUGAAAAAACAGAGCAGCAAGAGACGGAAAAAGAAGGAAAAUAGACGCAGCAUGGAGGAAAGAGAGAGCACAGAUGAGAAAGGAGAGAGAGCAGAAAGAGAAGAAGGAGAUAGCAGAAAAAAACUCGACGGUGAAGUAGAAAAAGAGAGCACAAUAAAAUGGAAAAAGAGAGAGAGCUGGGGGCGUUUGAGCGGGAGACAGAGAGCGAGAAAGGACCGAGGGAGAACAAAAGAAACUGGAGCACGAGAAAUAGAGCACCAAGAAGAGGAGGAAAGAAAGAACACGAGGAGAGAGAGGAAACAACACAGAAAAAGAGAGAGGACCAAGAGAAGAGAAGAGAGAAAACUAGACGGAGAAAUAAUAGAAACUGGACAGCACCCACUGAUCAUCUUUUCUACAUACUCUCACUUCCAGCUUCCGAGUUCCAACUGAGUUGAGCUUCCGAGUUCCAACUGAGUUGAUGACUCGUUCUCACGUAAAAUCUGGUCAUCACAAUGUUAUUCUGUUCUUUUUACUCUUCAAAAUCUGGUGGGAGAAAGAUUCUUGAAGUUCUUAUAUUGGGGCAGUUCGUGAUAGAGAAGGUUAUGGAAGCAACUCAAGCUUCAACCGCAUUAUCAAGUACCUUUCAUGGAGGCUACUUAAUGCAAUGUCAGGAAUUGAGACAUAUGCUAUGUGUAUGAAGGUGAGAAAGGAAAAACAAUGGUACUUUGGAGUUCCAAUUCCCUGUUUUGGGUGAAAUUCUCUUCUGGUUUGAUCAAUUAAAUGAGAAAAGAUAAUAUCAAAUCCAAUUGGAGAAAGUUGUUUGCCAUCAUGAGCUGCAGCAACGUUUGAUUCAAUAUAUCGAAGUCCUUCAACAAAUGAGAAUCUCCCAAUUAUUUCACUACAUAGGCUUCUUUAAAUCAGACAAGCAUCGUAUCUUAUUCACAUACAUACAUACAAUUAUAAUAAUUGUUAUAUAUUAGAAUUAAUUAGAUCUAUUGGAGA